UCCUUUGCUCUUUCCAUCAUGUGAAGAUAUAGGAUAAAGAUAGACAAUUAUGAAACACGAAAUGGGCCCUCACCAGAUACCAAAUCUUCUGGGAUUUUGACCUUUGGAUUCUCAAGCUUCAAAAUUAAUGGGCAUAUUGCUCAACAUCCUAGAUGACAGCCAGAGAAGAGACAAGAGUCUGAAUGGAGAGAGAACUCCUUUCCAAGCUGAAUCCCAGGCACUGAUAGCACAAUGUCAGCAAAGAGACACAAGGUGAAUGGACUUCCUCUGAACUAUGCUGCCUUCUCCUUAAAGAGCUGGUCCGUCCCCUGCCUUCAUCUACAUAUAUGAACAUUUAUUAAAAUGAAAUAAAUGACUUAUAUACAAAUUCA